GUUUUUAUUUUUUGUUUUUAUUAGCUUCGCCAACUAAGGCAGGGUCACCACAACAGCAUAUGCCAAUUACUGUGGGCCCUUUUUACCUAACCCACCCUGUCAACUUUUCCCUGUGGGAGGAAACCGGAGUACCCGGGGAAAACCCACGGCGUUCGGCAGAGCGUUGACUUUUACUCUUUUCACAUGGGGACUGGGUUCGAGUCGCACUGAGAAGGUACUUAGUGAGAUUCGAACCUGCAGCCUCAGAGGUGAAAGGCAAGUGCGCUAACCACUUGAUCACGUGAGCAUGACCUUUGUAAUCGAAU
rnacentral:lncRNA from 1 species